rnacentral:rRNA from 1 species
AUGCGGGCAUUGCAUCAAUCACAGUGUCAGCCAUGGUUGUUAGUUGGUGAUCUGAACGAAAUACAGUUUUUACAGGAAAAAGAAGGAGGUAAUCCUCGCCCCCAGCAAUAUAUGACAGCAUUUCAGAAUGCUAUCGAUGAUUGCAAUCUCAAGGAUAUGGGAUUUGUCGGGGAUAUGUUCACCUGGAGGAGAGGAAGAAUACGGGAGAGAUUGGACAGGGGUCUAAUAAACGACGAGUGGUCGAUUCUAUACCCACAUGCCGCGCUUGAAAAUCUGGAGUUCAAUCAUUCAGAUCACAGACCUAUUCUU